rnacentral:rRNA from 1 species
CCUACGGGAGGCAGCAGUGGGGAAUAUUGCACAAUGGGCGCAAGCCUGAUGCAGCCAUGCCGCGUGUAUGAAGAAGGCCUUCGGGUUGUAAAGUACUUUCAGCGAGGAGGAAGGCAUUAAGGUUAAUAACCUUAGUGAUUGACGUUACUCGCAGAAGAAGCACCGGCUAACUCCGUGCCAGCAGCCGCGGUAAUACGGAGGGUGCAAGCGUUAAUCGGAAUUACUGGGCGUAAAGCGCACGCAGGCGGUCUGUCAAGUCGGAUGUGAAAUCCCCGGGCCCAACCUGGGAACUGCAUUCGAAACUGGCAGGCUAGAGUCUUGUAGAGGGUGGUAGAAUUCCAGGUGUAGCGGUGAAAUGCGUAGAGAUCUGGAGGAAUACCGGUGGCGAAGGCGGCCCCCUGGACAAAGACUGACGCUCAGGUGCGAAAGCGUGGGGAGCAAACAGGAUUAGAUACCCGUGUAGUC